ACUGAGCCCACAUGCCCUCCAGGGCAUAGAUAUGAUGGUUACCUCAAGUGCAGACUUGUAAUUCUUUGAUUGACCAUACCUGGGAUAAUGUGAAGCUGCUGAGGAAUGCUGAGGAAUGUGCUGAACUACUUACCACCUGCUAUGAUUAUUCUGGACAUCUGAUUCUUCUCUACCACUUAAAUCGUACUAUUGACUGUAUUUAAUGUAAUAAAUUGUACCUAAUAAUAAACCGAUUGUGUCAUUGC